CGUAGGGUGCAAGCGUUAAUCGGAAUUACUGGGCGUAAAGCGUGCGCAGGCGGUUCUAUAAGACAGAUGUGAAAUCCCCGGGCUCAACCUGGGAAUUGCAUUUGUGACUGUAGAGCUAGAGUACGGUAGAGGGGGAUGGAAUUCCGCGUGUAGCAGUGAAAUGCGUAGAUAUGCGGAGGAACACCGAUGGCGAAGGCAAUCCCCUGGACCUGUACUGACGCUCAUGCACGAAAGCGUGGGGAGCAAACAGGAUUAGAUACCCUGGUAGUCCACGCCCUAAACGAUGUCAACUGGUUGUUGGGUCUUCACUGACUCAGUAACGAAGCUAACGCGUGAGGUUGACCGCCUGGGGAGUACGGCCGCAAGGUUG
rnacentral:rRNA from 1 species